UUUAACUCAGUACUGAUUUGAUUGACUUUGGGUAGUUUCAAAAUAAUAGAAACUUUAGAAAUGUAACCUGAAGGGCAUAUACGGUUAAAAAUAAAGUGUUUCUCUUAAACUGUACGGAAUUCCAAUGUUUUAAUAUACCAAGGGGAAAUUACUUUAUAUAGAAUAUUAGACGUUUAGUAUUGAAUUGCCAUACUUUACAAAAUUUGUAUUUCCUCAAA